rnacentral:rRNA from 1 species
AUGGAAGGUCUCCUUCACUGGGAUUUCAACCCUGGCCUUGCGGUUGCAGAUCAGGUGCAUCGAUGAUUUGGAGAAACGGUCCACUUCGCUCCUUCACGCCCAACCAAGGAAUUUUUCUUGGUGGUUUCUUUUUCCUCGGCUUCCUUCCCUCUCUCUGAAGAAUCUGUGGGAGUGGCUCUCCAAUGUUGCAUUGGU